AAUAUUUGUAAAUAACUAAAUAAUAGUAUAAUACUAAUCUGGGAUCAAAGUAUAAGAAUGCUAUGUGGUAACACAUUUUUUAGUUUGAUUUAGCCUUUCCAUUCUUAUUUCCUUUAUUGCCAACUGUGUUAAAUAUUCCGGGUUUAGUAUAAACAGGGAAAGGAUUAGCUCACUUUUGAGUUGUCAUGAGGGGGACUGAGUAUUAUUGUUGUAUGCAACAAUCAUGUAUAAUAUGCUUCUUUGAUCUGAAAUUAAGCUACUUGCCCUGUUCUUUGUCCAAUUUACCAAAAAACCCACCAGAAUCAUGACAAAACUGAAUGCCGCAUACAAAUGUGGGACCUGUGUUAUGGCUGGAUUACACCUGGGUAAUCUGUAUGUUACUCACUUACUCCCACUGUGUGGCACUUGAUCAAGAGAUAUAAGCAAUAAGUUUAUAAUGGAUCUUUACUUUUUCGAUAUGCCCUUGUAAGAUGAGUUGGACAAUUGAUGACGAAUAUUUUGGAAUAGAUGCAAAGUUACUCAACUUCUGAACCAGGGUAUACUUACAGUCAGGUAUGAUUUUCUUAUAUGUGUUCAUGUUUUUAAGUUGUUUAGAAUAUGAUUGAUUUCAUGACUUAGGUUCCUAUCUAUCCAUGGGCCCGUGGCUAUUCUGGUCAUGCAUGACGUGCUGAACAUAUUCCAUUCGUGUUGGGAUUGUCCAAGGAACACUGGAUUUGUCCAAUAUGAGGAGAAGACAGAGAGCCACCUGUCAUGAUUUGUUUGAGAGGGCAGUGACAAUAGGGCUUUGCGGUGAAUGUCAGAUGAGAUGGAAGGGAAGGGCAGGUGAACAGAGAGGAGAGUGGUGGAAGCCGUAUGAUGGCUGGAGGGAAUAUUGGUCAAAAGGAUUAACACUCUGAUAUAGUCUGAUACCAUGCAGCAUCACUUGUCAUGUACUUGAUCUCUUUAUUUUGGAAGGGGGAAGAGCUCAAAACAAAAAGCAAAAGAUACUAAGCUUCCAAGUGCACAAAAGAAUAUAGCUACCCUUGAUCUCAUUGAUUUAUCAUAUCAUUUCGUUGUUACUUGUCUAUAAGUAGCACAAUUAGUCAUCUAACAUUAAAUCAACACGAGACACCCACAAAAUCCACAAUUACAAUGUGGGUAUAAGGAGUGUAUCAAAUUCACCCAGAAACAUUGUAUAUCCAACAUACUACAAAAGAUGCUUUCUCUCUAUGCUCAUCUAGAUUGUGCAACAUCUAGAUAAAAGACAUCAUGACUAUCUUAUCAUCUGCCGAUAUCCUCCAUUUUCCAUUCCCUGAUGAAAGGUAUAGCAUGCCAAAACAUUUGUUUCCCAAAGAAAUUACAUAAGGAAUUUUGAAAACGGACAAGGGGAGCUUAAUACACGAUUGGUUGACUGCCAUUGACACCCUCUUAUUCUUGUAGGUGAAAAAUACAACAAUUUGAACAUGUCAACCACCUCACUAGUUAAUUUGUUAUCUUUACAUAAUCCAAUGAAAAUAAUUGAACUUCUAUGGAAUGGAUGGAUGAGACCAAUCACAUAAGCUGCCAUUUUACAAGUGUGUGAAUGAUGAUCAACAAUGCAUCUUUGUCAUCUAUGAGUCGUGUGCCAGACUGGCAGCUGAAGAGUAAAACCAUCCAGAUCACCCAGAACACAUACUCGCACUCUAUACAAAUAUCACUGCUCAACAUAUUAUUGCAUUUGAAUGUGUUGUUUGCAUGUUACCUUGCAAUGGAUUUGUCCAGGUUGUGUCCAAUGUCAUUACCAUGUUUUCAUACAUGAAAACCGUACACUCGAAGUCAAUAUUCAUUGGAAGGUAACUUGCAAACACCACAUUCAAAAUGCAAAGAUAUGUUUUGCAUUUCAACUGGCAGUCUGGCGCACCACUCAUGGUGAACAAAGUUGCAGUGUACAUGUUGAUCAUCAUUGACACAUUUGUUAAACGACACUUCUGUGAUUGGUCUCACAUCCAUUGCAUACAUAUAUAGAAGUUCAAUCCUUUUCAUUAAAUUAUGUAAUGAUAAUACAAAUUAAUUAGUGAGGUGUGGUUUCAUAUCAAGUGUUUAGAGUGCUAGUUUGGAAUCCAUUAUGCCUCUGCCUAUUUGAGCAAAUGGUGAAAAAUGUGAACUUCAUUUUUCUGUUCAUUGGAAUCGAGUUAAGAGGAUGUGAUGUUCGUACUUAUAAUUUUUGUAUAAAUUUGUAACUAACAAACAUUUCAUCAUGUAUCGCUUUGAUAUAUAAUCUUUCUUAUAUUGUAUGGUA